rnacentral:rRNA from 1 species
UAGUCAUAUGCUUGUCUCAAAGACUAAGCCAUGCAUGUCUAAGUUUAAACGAUUUUAACUGUGAGACUGCGGACGGCUCAUUAUAUCAGUUAUAGUUCAUUUGAUGGUCAAUCACUACAAGGAUAACCGUAGUAAUUCUAGAGCUAAUACUUGCACUACAUGCCUGGUUUCCAGGUUGCACUUAUUAGAUUUCCCACCAAUGCGGCUUGCCGCUUCGGUGAAUCAUAGUAAUUAAGCGGAUCCCCUCUGGGGACGCUUCAUUCAAAUUUCUGCCCUAUCAGCUUUCGAUGGUAGUGUAUUGGACUACCAUGGCUUUGACGGGUAACGGAGAAUUAGGGUUCGAUUCCGGAGAGGGAGCCUGAGAAACGGCUACCACAUCUAAGGAAGGCAGCAGGCGCGCAAAUUACCCAAUCCCAACUCGAGGAGGUAGUGACAAGAAAUAACAACAACUAACCUAUAUCAGGUGAGUUGAUUGGAAUGAGUACAAUGUAAACACCUUAACGACGAUCAAUUGGAGGGCAAGUCUGGUGCCAGCAGCCGCGGUAAUUCCAGCUCCAAUAGCGUAUACUAAUGUUGUUGCAGUUAAAAAGCUCGUAGUCGGAUUUCAGUUUGAUUAUAGCCGCUCUACCGAGAGGCGAUGAUCAUUCUUCCUUGACAUAAACAGGCAUGUCCUUCAUUGGAUGUGCCUCGGGAGUGUCUCUUUUACUUUGAGAAAAUUAGAGUGUUCAAAGCAGGUAUUCGCCUGAAUAUUACUCUUGGAAUAAUACUAUAGGACUUUGGUUCUGCGUUGUUGGUGUUCAGAGCCAGAGUAAUGAUUGAUAGGGACGGUUGGGGUCAUUAGUACUGCAAAGCGAGAGGUGAAAUUCUUGGACCUCUGUAUGACUAACAACUGCGAAAGCAUUUGACUAGGACGUUCCCGUUGAUCAAGAACGAAAGUUGGGGGAUCGAAGACGAUCAGAUACCGUCGCAGUCUCAACCAUAAACUAUGCCAGCUAGGGAUUGGAGGAAGUUAAUAAUUGACUCCUUCAGCACCUUAUGAGAAAUCAAAGUAUUUGGGUUCCGGGGGGAGUAUGGUCGCAAGUCUGAAACUUAAAGAAAUUGACGGGAGGGCACCACCAGGAGUGGAGCCUGUGGCUUAAUUUGACUCAACACGGGAAAACUUACCAGGUCCGGACAUAGUAAGGAUUGACAGAUUGAAAGCUCUUUCUUGAUUCUAUGGGUGGUGGUGCAUGGCCGUUCUUAGUUGGUGGAGUGAUUUGUCUGGUUAAUUCCGUUAACGAACGAGACCUCAGCCUGCUAAAUAGUUGUAUUCACUUUCGUGGAUCAUAACUUCUUAGAGGGACUACUUGCGAAACUACCGAGCGGAAGCUUGAGGCAAUAACAGGUCUGUGAUGCCCUUAGAUGUUCUGGGCCGCACACGGGCUACACUGGUGCAUUCAACAAGUAUAAUCAGCUGAGCUGAAAGGCCUGGCUAAUCUUUGAAAUUGCACCGUGCUUGGGAUAGACUAUUGCAAUUUUUAGUCUUCAACGAGGAAUUCCUAGUAAACGCAAGUCAUCAGCUUGCAUUGAUUACGUCCCUGCCCUUUGUACACACCGCCCGUCGCUCCUACCGAUUGGAUGAUUCGGUAAGCCCUUGGGAUUGAUUGUUUUCUGCCACUGGUAGUUCAUAAUUUUGAGCCUGAUCAAACCUAAUCAUCUAGAGGAAGGAGAAGUCGUAACAAGGUUUCCGUAG